CACUGCCCUGCCAGGCCGCCGCCCUCGACGGAGGCCACCCAGGCUCCUCGCCGCACGCCUGUAGUCCCAGCGCUCGGCAGGCGGAGGUAGGACGAUCGCCGCGAGUUCGAGGCCACCCUGAGACUACGUAGGGAAUUCGAGGGUCGGAUCUCAUGUUGCCCAGGCUGGCCUCCAAUUCCCGGUCUGAGAUUGGCCCUGGAACCCCCACCUGCCUCAGCCACCUGAGUGUGGGAAUUACAGGAAUCAGGGAAGAAGAGCAGGAUUCUGACACUCAGUAAACUCUGUCCUGAACAUUUUUCAAACUUGAUUUGGAGCAAUCUAAUCAGAGAGGCUGUGGAAGUGAGAACGUUGUCAUCUGAGACCUGAUCAGCAGGGGGCACUGUUGCACCUCCCAGAGCCCCACUGAAGCCUAAAACCUCAUCCUGGACAAACCCAAGUGGUGUUGAGAGCACACCACAUUCCUGAGGCUAGUAGAUAAUCUCCACUUGGUCCAGGGGAACAGAUGGACUGGCUCCCGAUGGCCUUCAGAAGCAUGAUGGAUGGGCAGCAAAGGAACCUACCGGUGCUAUUGUUUUCCUGGUGACAAAGAAUACAGCAUGUCAACAGGUGUCUCUCCAUCCCUGACCUCAGCUCUCCCAACACACACGUCCUAAAAAGGAUGCUGUGACUCUGUCCUAACCACUGCAUUCCUCAUUCCUUUUCUUUCUCCAUAAACAGCUUCUGACUUCA